GGUUACGUAGUGUAGUGGUCAUCAUGUCUGCUUUACAUGCAGGAUGUUCUGGGUUCAAACCCCAGUGGAACCA